rnacentral:rRNA from 1 species
AUUGAACGCUGGCGGCAGGCCUAACACAUGCAAGUCGAGCGCGAAAGUUCUUCGGAAUGAGUAAAGCGGCGGACGGGUGAGUAAUGCAUGGGAAUCUGCCUGGUAGUGGGGGACAACGUCUCGAAAGGGACGCUAAUACCGCAUACGCCCUACGGGGGAAAGGGGGGGAUCUUCGGACCUCUCGCUAUCAGAUGAGCCCAUGUCAGAUUAGCUAGUUGGUGGGGUAAAGGCCUACCAAGGCGACGAUCUGUAACUGGUCUGAGAGGAUGAUCAGUCACACUGGAACUGAGACACGGUCCAGACCCCUACGGGAGGCAGCAGUGGGGAAUAUUGGACAAUGGGCGAAAGCCUGAUCCAGCCAUGCCGCGUGUGUGAAGAAGGCCUUAGGGUUGUAAAGCACUUUCAGUGGGGAGAAAGGCUGUUUACUUAAUCCGUAGGCAGAUUGAUGUUACCCACAGAAGAAGCACCGGCUAACUCCGUG